UACGAAGGGGGCUAGCGUUGCUCGGAAUCACUGGGCGUAAAGCGCACGUAGGCGGCUUACUAAGUCAGGGGUGAAAUCCUGGAGCUCAAACUCCAGAACUGCCUUUGAUACUGGUGAGCUUGAGUCCGGAAGAGGUGAGUGGAACUGCGAGUGUAGAGGUGAAAUUCGUAGAUAUUCGCAAGAACACCAGUGGCGAAGGCGGCUCACUGGUCCGGUACUGACGCUGAGGUGCGAAAGCGUGGGGAGCAAACAGG
rnacentral:rRNA from 1 species